UUUCUAUGGAGAGUUUGAUCCUGGCUCAGGACGAACGCUGGCGGCGUGCCUAAUACAUGCAAGUCGAGCGGACCAAAGGGAGCUUGCUCCCUGAGGUUAGCGGCGGACGGGUGAGUAACACGUGGGCAACCUGCCCUGCAGACCGGGAUAACUUCGGGAAACCGGAGCUAAUACCGGAUAA
rnacentral:rRNA from 1 species